UACGUAGGGUGCGAGCGUUAAUCGGAAUUACUGGGCGUAAAGCGUGCGCAGGCGGUUUUGCAAGCCGGAUGUGAAAUCCCCGGGCUCAACCUGGGAAUGGCAUUCGGGACUGCAAGGCUGGAGUGCGGCAGAGGAGACUGGAAUUCCUGGUGUAGCAGUGAAAUGCGUAGAUAUGCGGAGGAACACCGAUGGCGAAGGCAAUCCCCUGGGCCUGCACUGACACUGAGGCACGAAAGCGUGGGGAGCAAACAGG
rnacentral:rRNA from 1 species